rnacentral:rRNA from 1 species
GGCCAGACUCCUACGGGAGGCAGCAGUGAGGAAUAUUGGUCAAUGGGCGCGAGCCUGAACCAGCCAAGUCGCGUGAGGGAAGACGGUCCUAUGGAUUGUAAACCUCUUUUGUCGGGGAGCAAAAGACGCCGCGUGUGGCGUUCCGAGAGUACCCGAAGAAAAAGCAUCGGCUAACUCCGUGCCAGCAGCCGCGGUAAUACGUAGGUGGCAAGCGUUAUCCGGAUUUACUGGGUGUAAAGGGCGUGUAGGCGGGAAAGCAAGUCAGAUGUGAAAACCAUGGGCUCAACCUGUGGCCUGCAUUUGAAACUGUUUUUCUUGAGUACUGGAGAGGCAGACGGAAUUCCUAGUGUAGCGGUGAAAUGCGUAGAUAUUAGGAGGAACACCAGUGGCGAAGGCGGUCUGCUGGACAGCAACUGACGCUGAGGCGCGAAAGCGUGGGGAGCAAACAGGAUUAGAUACCCCAGUA